rnacentral:rRNA from 1 species
GCUGAUGCAGCCAUGCCGCGUGUAUGAAGAAGGCCCUAGGGUUGUAAAGUACUUUCAGUCGGGAGGAAGGCGUUGAUGCUAAUAUCAUCAACGAUUGACGUUACCGACAGAAGAAGCACCGGCUAACUCCGUGCCAGCAGCCGCGGUAAUACGGAGGGUGCAAGCGUUAAUCGGAAUUACUGGGCGUAAAGCGCACGCAGGCGGUUGAUUAAGUUAGAUGUGAAAUCCCCGGGCUUAACCUGGGAAUGGCAUCUAAGACUGGUCAGCUAGAGUCUUGUAGAGGGGGGUAGAAUUCCAUGUGUAGCGGUGAAAUGCGUAGAGAUGUGGAGGAAUACCGGUGGCGAAGGCGGCCCCCUGGACAAAGACUGACGCUCAGGUGCGAAAGCGUGGGGAGCAAACAGG